AGCGAACGCUGGCGGCGUGCCUAACACAUGCAAGUCGAACGUGAACGGGGGCAACCCUUAGUAAAGUAGCGUACGGGUGAGUAACACGUAGGUAAUCUACCCUAGAGUCUGGAAUAACCGGCCGAAAGGCUGGCUAAUACUGGAUAGAGCGACGGAACUCGUAAAGAGUUUUUCGGGAAAGGGAGCUCGCAAGAGCCCUCGCUUUAGGAUGAGCCUGCGUCCCAUCAGGUAGUUGGUAGGGUAAUGGCCUACCAAGCCUUUGACGGGUAGCUGGUCUGAGAGGAUGAUCAGCCACACUGGAACUGAAACACGGUCCAGACUCCUACGGGAGGCAGCAGUGGGGAAUCUUGCGCAAUGGGCGAAAGCCUGACGCAGCCACGCCGCGUGAGUGAAGAAGGCCUUCGGGUUGUAAAGCUCUGUCGGGAGGGACGAACAUCAUUGGUGUUAACAGCGCCAGUGACUGACGGUACCUCCAAAGGAAGCACCGGCUAACUUCGUGCCAGCAGCCGCCGUAA
rnacentral:rRNA from 1 species